rnacentral:rRNA from 1 species
GCAAGUCGAACGGUAAGGCCGAGCGUAGCAAUACGUGAGGUACACGAGUGGCGCACGGGUGCGUAACGCGUAUGCAAUCCUGCCCCCCGAACCCGGGACAAAACAGGACUGGAAACGGCUGCUAAUAUCCCAUGGUCAUGAGAGACGGCAUCGUUUUUCAUGUAAAGAUUCAUUGGCGGGGAUGAGCAUGCGUAUUAUUAGGUAGUUGGUGGGUAACGGCCACCAAGCCGACGAUGAUUAGGGGUUCUGAGAGGAUUAACCCCCACACUGGAACUGAGACACGGUCCAGACUCCUACGGGAGGCAGCAGUAGGGAAUAUUGGGCAAUGGAGGCAACUCUGACCCAGCCAUGCCGCGUGAAGGAAGACGGCCCUAUGGGUUGUAAACUUCUUUUGCCGCAGAGUAAACCCGGUCACGUGUGGCCGGUUGAGAGUAUGCGGCGAAUAAGUAUCGGCUAACUCCGUGCCAGCCGCAGC